GAUGAACGCUGGCGGCGUGCCUAAUACAUGCAAGUCGAGCGAACAGACGAGGAGCUUGCUCCUUUGACGUUAGCGGCGGACGGGUGAGUAACACGUGGGUAACCUACCUAUAAGACUGGGAUAACUUCGGGAAACCGGAGCUAAUACCGGAUAAUAUUUCGAACCGCAUUGUUCGAUAGUGAAAGAUGGCUCUGCUAUCACUUAUAGAUGGACCUGCGCCGUAUUAGCUAGUUGGUAAGGUAACGGCUUACCAAGGCAACGAUACGUAGCCGACCUGAGAGGGUGAUCGGCCACACUGGAACUGAGACACGGUCCAGACUCCUACGGGAGGCAGCAGUAGGGAAUCUUCCGCAAUGGGCGAAAGCCUGACGGAGCAACGCCGCGUGAGUGAUGAAGGUCUUCGGAUCGUAAAACUCUGUUAUUAGGGAAGAACAAACGUGUAAGUAACUGUGCACGUCUUGACGGUACCUAAUCAGAAAGCCACGGCUAACUACGUG
rnacentral:rRNA from 1 species